GAUGAAGAACGUAGUAAAAUGCGAUAAGUAGUGUGAAUUGCAGAAUUCAGUGAAUCAUCGAAUCUUUGAACGCACAUUGCGCCCGCUAGUAUUCUGGCGGGCAUGCCUGUUCGAGCGUCAUUUCAACCAUCAAGCCCUAGGCUUGCGUUGGAGCCCUGCGGCUGCCGCAGGCUCCCAAAUCCAGUGGCGGGCUCGUCGUCGUACCGAGUGCAGUAAACAUCCUCGCUCAGGGAACGUGACGGGUUCUUGCCGUGAAACCCCCCACAUAUCAAGGUUGACCUCGGAUCAGGUAGGAAUACCCGCUGAACUUAAGCAUAUCAAUAAGCGGAGGA
rnacentral:misc_RNA from 1 species